AUUGAACGCUGGCGGCAGGCCUAACACAUGCAAGUCGAGCGGAAGAAGGGAGCUUGCUCCUGGAUUCAGCGGCGGACGGGUGAGUAAUGCCUAGGAAUCUGCCUGUCAGUGGGGGAUAACGUCCGGAAAUGGGCGCUAAUACCGCAUACGUCCUGAGGGCGUAAGUGGGGGAGCUUCGGACCUCACGCUAUCAGACGAGCCUAGGUCGGAUUAGCUAGUUGGUGGGGUAAAGGCCUACCAAGGCGACGAUCCGUAACUGGUCUGAGAGGAUGAUCAGUCACACUGGAACUGAGACACGGUCCAGACUCCUACGGGAGGCAGCAGUGGGGAAUAUUGGACAAUGGGCGAAAGCCUGAUCCAGCCAUGCCGCGUGUGUGAAGAAGGUCUUCGGAUUGUAAAGCACUUUAAGUUGGGAGGAAGGGCAGUAAGUUAAUACCUUGCUGUUUUGACGUUACCAACAGAAUAAGCACCGGCUAACUUCGUG
rnacentral:rRNA from 1 species